GAUUCUUUCAGGUGGAUAUGAGUCACCUUGUGGAGAUUCAGAUGUGCUAAAUGCAAUACUGAUACCUGUUGGAUGAGCUAUUUUAAACCGAAUGUUCUUUGGCCCAAGUGUUCAUCCUAUUGUACAAGACAUUCCACUUUAAGAUAUUCAAUUGGAGGAAGACUUGAAAGAAGAUGCUCUGAAACUUAAGCAAAUUAAGGUUUUCAAAGAAGAGAGACAGAUCGUGACAACCUCGACGGCUUGCAGCGAGAGUUCAUGGAUGGGUUUAGCAGAGAACCUCCUACAGGACACCCACAUGAGCCACCCAAGAUGUUUGGUUAGAGGACAUUACAUUGUGAAUAUAGAUGCCAAGCCUUUACCCCUACUCCCCCAUCCUCUUGCAAUGGGAAACUUCCUUUGGGCAACCACAUACACUCAGCCUAAGCGCCAGUGUUUUUCAGUGAAGUAGCCUAUCAGUUCUACACUCAGCCACUCCCUCCACCCCCUGUAGCUCCAGUCUAAUACCUCUGGUCGCAACGCAUGACACUCCAAUGACUCCUAUACAUGCCUGUGUAUGUGGAGACCAUCCAUGACACAUGCUGUUUUAGGGUGGGGAUGUUGCUAUGGACUCCAAGUUGUCUCAGUGUAUUUCAUGUGAUGAAUGAGCUGAUAACUUUCUGCUAUUAUUCUUCUAUUUGGCCAGUCACCUCUCAGUAUGUCUUCUAAGUUCCGUGGCACAUCAUCAGCUUAUCUCUUACUCAUACAUCGUAGCUCACUAGUUUAAUCCCUGAAACUACAUACUAAAGCAGAUUUAUCCUCUAUUAAAUUUUUGCUCUUUUUACUCAUUUUUCCUAGACUGGGAAUCCUUGAAGUGGCAAUCCUGGAAAGCAGGGUAAUGAAUCACAGGUCCUAUGACACAUCUGCUCUCUCUCCCGAGCAUAUUAAAGUGCUUGCUAUAAAAGUAGCAGAGUCCUUAAG